AUACGUAGGGUGCAAGCGUUGUUCGGAAUCACUGGGCGUAAAGGGCGUGUAGGCGGGAAGGUCAGCUAGAGGUGAAAGCCCGGGGCUCAACCCCGCGAAAUGCAGGUGAAACUGGCAGACUUGAGACCGGUAGAGGCUAGCGGAAUUCCUGGUGUAGCGGUGGAAUGCGUAGAUAUCAGGAAGAACACCUGUGGCGAAGGCGGCUAGCUGGGCCGGUUCUGACACUGAACUGCGAAAGCGUGGGGAGCAAACAGGAUUAGAAACCCCUGUAGUCC
rnacentral:rRNA from 1 species